CGGUUGGCCUAGAUGAUCUUGGAGGUCUUUUCCAACCUUAGUGUGAUUCUACGAUUAGCAAGCCCUUGUCAGACAUGUUAUAUGAGCUUAUUUCCCCUCCCACGGGUGAGCCAGGAACUCCCUCUCAUCUUGUUCAUUUGGGGAAUCCAGUAGCAAUGCCCAGAGACGCUACUGCUAAGUGAUUUCCACUUAAAGAAAAACGAAACGUCAGCUUUCUGUGACCAACCCGUGUAAUUGGUCUCCAACCCCUGUCAAAGAGCCGAAGUACCCUGUGGCUGCCUGGGUAUUGCAUUGCGCAGAAUUAAAGGAUUCCUGUUUGUAUUGGAUCAACAAUACCUGUACUGUUUGCUUUGAAGCGUGUUUAAUGAGUGCAUUUUAUUGAUGGUGAGCCUGGGUGGUGCGCUGCGCUCUUCCUUUGAGAUGCUGGAAGUAUUAGAGAUGGGAGCUGAGAGUAAUGAAAUGAGUUUGGUGGUGAGGCUUAAGUGAAAAGAAAACAUAUUUUCAUUGAGGCUUGAAAGUACCUGCUAUUGGCACUGAAUUCUGGGCAGCCAGGAGAAACUAUCCCAUGGUUUGUGCAGAAGGGAAAGAGGACAAGUGCGAGAGGAAAUAAUCUGGUACGAGUGGGAUGCUUCAACACAGGGUGCAGUUUAUGUAGAGCUGUCAGCGUGCACUGUGCUGUCAGCCACGUGUGCUUUGGGUAAAAAUGCACGAUAAGGGCACGUUCAGACUUGAGCCAGCUCCUUACUGCUGCUUUUUGCUAUCUCAUAGUUAUGUCAGUCAGGACAGCGAAGAGAGAUAAGUUCCCUGACCAGUGUGGCAGCUCUUGCAAAAGCCUCAGGAUGGUGAUGUCUUCUGGCAGCUUGCUUCGUACGUAAGGGGCAGCACAGGCAAAAGAUGAAAAGAUUUCAGUGGGAAGGAAGCUAAUAACAAGCACAUCAAAACAAGCUUGUUAGGAGUGGUUUUACCAUAGCAGCACAGGGAGCAAUUGUUUGCUAAUGUAACGGAGUCCACCAGAGGUGUGCUUGGGCAGCAUGAUACGCUGAUGAUUUAUGCUGUAAGGGCUCCCAGGGUAGCUGUAGCCUUGCAUCUCAGGGGAGGUUUGCGUUGGAUAUUAGGAAAAAUUCUUUCUCAGAAAGAGUGGUGAAACAGUGGAACAGGCUACCCAGGGAGGUGGUGGAGUCACCACCCCUGCAAUUGUUCAAGAAACAUGUGGAUGUGGCACUGAGGGAAGUGGGUUAGAGGGCAUGGUGGGCAUGGAUUGGCAAUUGGACUUGAUGAUCUCAGUGAUCUUUUCCAACCUUAGUGAUUCUGUGGUUCUAUAACUGCGAAUCAGGAAGGUUUAAGCCAUUGUGAUGUCUGUUGGCAAUGGAGUGUGUCUGUGUAAAUGCACAUAAAAACAACACUUGGUAUUAACAUUACCUAGAUUCCUGAAUGUUUUACUUAACAAAAACUUGAAUACUAUUAGUUACUUGAUGAAGAAGUGUUGUCUAUGACUAGUGUCCCAGGAAAAUACAGGCUAUCAUCCAUGAACAUUAAAGCAAGGAUUAAGGCCCAUUUUCUUUACAUAGAGAUGCGUUGAUCCUGUUGAUGCUGAUUUGAAGUAAAUUAUAAAAACAACCAUCUUUAGAGACUCAUAAAAAAUAAAUUAAUGCAAAAUGAAGUUGGAAAAAUACCUUAUUUCUUGAUUUUAAUGAAAGCAGAUGGAUUUUUCCAGCUCUGUAAGAAAAUGACCAUUUUUGUCUCCCUCUUUCACUGAAAUUGUGCCAUAAAUGUACUCCUCUUUCCAACCACAAUCUAAUAAUGCAAACCUCGUGAGCCUAGUACAUGGGGCAUAUUUAGCUAUGAAUGCUUAGACAAUUAAAAAAAUCUCUUCUGAUAUUUUCUUUGGCUCAAGUUUGAAGGUAAUGAAAAUAAUAGUGUAUUUACAAAAUUCAGCGGUCUUAGAACAAAUAUGGAAGUGUCUUAAAAGAGAAAAAUGUCUACAAUUGUGUAGCAGUUAGUGUGAGAACAUUCACGUUUUUUGAAAUAAAUAGAUCUCAGAUAACUAACAAAUACGUAUUUAUGUAUGGAGGUGUAUCACACCAUAGUAAUAUCUGUGACCCAAUGAUAAGUGUGUGUGGGCAUGCGAUUAAUACUAGGAUGUAUGUUUGCAAACUCUGAGUAGUUGGGAG
ensembl:lncRNA